rnacentral:sRNA from 1 species
UAUCAUCAACCAAAGAUUCCAAAAUAAUUUGGUCCUAAAAGUCUAUUUCAAAAAAAAAAAAAAAAACCAGACUAUGCAAGUCAAAGUCCUAAAAGUCUCAUGUAUUAAAAAAUAAAAAAACUAAAUAACCUUAGUUACCAAUCACGGCAUAAAUUCAAUAAUAAAUAUAUCAUUAACCUAUAAAUUAAAAGUUAAAGAGCUUACAUUAAUUCUUUAAUAAACACAUGGUAAAUGCUAGUGAUAAUGUGUCAAUCAUAUGAAGAGAAUUGGCCAACUUUCAUAUAUAUGAUUCUUCCUUGGAUCUCAAUCUCAGAAUAAGAAAUCUAAAGCUUAAAGUUUUCCCAAUAUUAGUAGAUGACCAAAGAUGCAAAAAACUAUUAAU